AGUUUUCUGUGGUUCAUAAGCAUGAUGAUUGGGUUUUCAUGCUUAUGUGUGAGAUGUGCCUCCCUCAAACCUUGUUACGACAUUGGCACAUUACCCAUCUGAUG
ensembl:snoRNA